rnacentral:lncRNA from 1 species
UGAGGUAGCCUUGGCGACUUUCGAGACUACCCAGGCCGAGCACACCCAGCCCCCUCAGACCCAGGCAUUUCUGCGUCCUCUGGUUUGGAGGGAACCCAGGGGGCUGAGGUGAAGCAAGCCAGGACUGUUUCUCUGACUCUUCUGGAAGACGACCCGCUGCUCGGGCCGCCUCAUCACUGCGGGCCACGAGUGCCCUUCUUCAUUCCAGACAUGGUGCUUUGAACAAUUUGACUUGGAGGCAAGAUUGCGAUAUAGAAAAUGGGCCACUGUGGAGGAGAUAAGUAAAUGCUUUGUCGCUUCUAAGUGACAGGGGAAACUGAUCACGAUUGGUAUACUUCUGACAUGUAACUUUCUAUAUCUUUAGAAGAUCGUCAGGGAAAUAGAAAAAAAAAUCUGAAAUCUCCAAGUAGGUUCUACUUUGUGUGGUUCCAACUAAAUGAACUAAAUUUGUGUUUAAAGAUUGUAAGUCUACAUGUAAUGGUGAAAGCUGAAGGUUUUACACUGCACAGAAAUAGUGAUUUCCCCCCGUGGAGGGCAAGAAGACCGGAAUAGGAGGGGUGGGUGGGGGAAUCAAUGUGUAGGCCAAAUAUUUGAAAUUUCAGUGCAAUCUUCUUAGUCAUCACUUUCAUUUCUGUCUUCUAGGGAAAUCUGACACAGCUAGAAAGCAAUGGAAAACACUAAGAGUUGCAUCAGAUGUUGAAGAGGAACUGAUAUUAUGGGAUAAAAAAUGAUUCUUUAAGGGAGAUAACUGGUCAUUUAAAGGUAGCAGCCUUUUUGGGAAAAGCUAACAAGUGUUCCCGAGGCCAGCCUGUCUCUUGUUAGCAACAUUGGCCCUGUGUUAGAAGGAAGAGUGGAUGUGUUUUGAUGCUAUUCCUUUUCCUCUCAGCAUAAAUUUGCAAGCAUGUACUGUAAAUGAAUUUUCAUGUCUUUUCAGGAUGUUUCCCUAUAGAGCAGUUUCUAGAUUGACUCUGUGGAACAGUCUACAAUAGAUUUAAUAUGGUUAGGAUUUUGCCUAAUUCUGAUUGAAAAUAAACCCGAAGAAGGAACCAUAAUGGGAAAAUUGAAGACUGACUAGAGGCUUCUCGUUCCUGACUCUGGUCUGGAUGUAUUUGUACUAGAAGAUGAGUAUUUGCACUAUAAGAAUAGUAGCCCCAGUGGAGAAGGUGGGACAAGUAGGUCUGGGUGAGGCCUGAGAGUCUGCAUUUUCAAUAAGCAUCUAGAUAGUGCCUGCUGUUUAUGGACUACACUUUGAAUAACAAGGACUUAGAAGAUGAAGAACAAAGAGCUUCAUAUAGAUCAGCAACACUCUUUGGUGUUCUUCCUCCUGUGUUCAAGUCAGUGAUUACAUAUCCUUUUUGGACCUCAGUUUCCAGUCCUGCCAAAUAAGGGACUAAGGCUGGAUCAUGUUUCAAGCUGUCCUGAAGAGACCUCUAACUCUGCAGAGAAGCCUCAGGACCCCACCCCCUCACCCCAAGAAAAGUGUGAGGCUAGUGUGAGGAGGAAGAGGAGCAGAGAAGCCAAUGGAGAAGGAACUAUUCUUUAGAAAGGUUUCAACGGUGACCUGCCAACAGCUCCCAAAUCUACAGGUUUCACCCAAUUUUUGACUCAUGACCUGUUGACAACCUCCGCCUGGAUAUGUCAUGGGUUUCCUCAAAACCCAACAUUUACAAAACUGAACAUCCUCAAAACAUCUUCCCUUUCUCACCAUUCCUCUCAGUUAACAGCAUCUCCAUAUACUCCAUCACUUGGGUGGAACAUAUCAGAGUCCACUUAGCUUUCUUCACAAGCCUUUAAUGGAGGAAAUAUUUAUUGAGUAUCUACCAUGUGCCACCCACUGUGCCAACCACUGUCCAUAUGAUGGUGAAUAACCAAGACAAGGGCUUGCUCUCAUGGAGCUUGCAGUCUUGUGGAGAAAAAGAUAAUAGAAAGUAAAGACAUACUUUACUUUCAGGUAGUGAGUAGUGCUGAAAAUAAAGCAGUGGGAGAGAGAGUGAUAGUGGAAGCUACUUUAGAAAAUGUAGCCAGAGAGGGCCUCUCAGAGAGACCACUUGAAUGAUGAGAAGGGCCGUGAAAAGAAGGGGGAUGAUAAAGGAAACUGCAAGUACCUGAGCCCUGAGACAGUUAAAAAAAACAUCUGAGAGACCAGUGUCUGGAGUUUGGGCUGAGCAGAGAUGAACUUGGCCAAACCACGCUGGACUUGUACAAUGUGGUAAAAAUGAUGGAUUUAACUGCACUUUAUCUUAAUAUAUCUCUUUUAUCAACACCUUCCUUUCCACGCUCCCAGCCGCAUUGUUUAUCAAGAACCUGUUACAUUUCACUUGACUAUUUACCUUCUCAACUUUUCCAACUCCUCUUCCUCAGGCACCUUUGCUGGCUCUUCUCUUUCUCUCUUUACCCGCUAUCUCUCAGCAGGCCUCAGACUUCUCUCCUGUCUCUCCCAAGAGUGCUACCCUAGACCAGCCUGCCUCAGAUUCUGUUUCGGCCUAGAAGGGCCAAACAUCUGGUUUGUCAUCUUCCUUGGGUUUUAGCACAUUAUCACACACACAUUAGGUCUUAGCACAUUAUUAGAACUCGCAAAUCCCUUAUUUGAUAGAAGAACUGAUUUCCUUUUUAACCCUAAUUCCUCUCCCCUACCCCCAUUUGAAUGUGUAUCUUUUCAUUUGGAUGUGUUCUUGUGGAAUGUCCAUUUUAUUUGUAUGCACUUAUUUUAAAUUCUGUAAAUGAUAUUAUAGUAUCCCUU